GACGGGGAUGAUGCAGUUCAAAUUCGGAGUCACCUUAAAGACUAACAAAUGUAUUUGGGCAGAAGCUUUCAUGGGCUGGAAUCCACUUCGUCAGAUGUGAACCUUGUACUCAAAUACAUUUUGUUAGUUUUUAAAGUGCCACAAGGACUGCUCGUUGUUUAUGCUGAAACAGACUAACAUGGCUACCACUCUGAAUCUUCAAAUUUAGAGAUGAGGUAGUGGAAAAUUCCAUCAUGAGAGGGAGGAGCUCUGCUCUGCCAAGAAUAACCUGAAAGGGAGGGGCUCUCCCAAAAAUGAGUUGUAGGGCAGGGUUCUGUGUCUAAAAAUAGGUAUGGCAUGAUGGGAGGGGCUCAAAAACUAGAAGCUGAUUGGCUGAGAGGAGCUGACCCUGAGAGACCAACCAGUAUAUAAGGCCAACAGCCAGCAGUGGGUUUGAUAGUAGGCUGAAUGUAGUGAGUUUGGGAUUUCGAGAAGAGCAAGAGAAGAAAGACAUCUAAGGAAAACAGCACGACCUGGCUGGUCAAGAAGCCACAAAAGCAGCAGCAACAGUAGGAUUCUGAGAUUUCCUCAGUAAUGAAGAACUGAUGCUCAAAUACUCACACUGCUAAAUCUAAACCAAGAGCCAGCAUAACCACGGCAGUAUCCUCGGCCCAAGCGCAGCUGUGGAGAAAACACUCUCUGAAAUCAGACAGAUCAGAAGGACCAAUUAGAUGAAUCGGAGAGAAUUUGAGCCCAAGUGAUUCAUGUGCAAACAGAAAAGAAAAUACCCAGAUGAAAAUCGAGGCUUCCAACAGGAGUGGGAGCAUAAGUACUUUUUCGUUGAACGUAAAUGGUAAGGCCACGUGUCUUCUUUGCCAGCCAUGUGUGUGUCAGUUCAAAUCUUCAAACUUGCAGCAUCAUUUUGUUUCUAGCCACGCACAUGUGGAUCAAGAAUUCCCACAAGGUUCUAAACUCCUCACUUUAAAGCUGAAAACUUUGAAAAAACAAACUGAUGUAGAAGCCCAGUUUUUCACCAGAUUUGCCAACCAGUCGCAGACUGUAAAGUUAGCCUCCUAUUAUGUGACCUGGCACAUAGCCCAUGUGAAAAAGCCCUACUCUGAAGGAGAGUCUAUAAAAACAUGCCUCACUGAUGUGAUUUCAAUCCUGUCACCAGAGAAUGAGAAUCUACAGAAGAAAAUGGCUGUCCUGCAGCUUUAAUGCCACACAAUAGAACGCAGAAUCUCCGACCUGAACAGUGACAUUGAAUUGCAACUGCACUCAUAACUUUAGCAGUGUGAGUAUUUGAGCAUCACUUUGGAUGACUCAUGCCAGGCACAGGAUAAACCUUAUUAUCGGCAUUUGUCCGCACUGUGUCUGACUGUGUUGUAAGGGAAGAACUCCUCGAUAUCAUAUCACUAAAGGACAGAACUCGUGGACGAGAUCUAAAGGAGGCGUUGAUGUUGGUAGUUGCAAAAAGCCACUUGCCUUUACAGAAGCUCAUUGCCAUUGCAACGGAUGGGCUUCGUCCAUGUGGGGAUUUGUGAAUGGAUUAGUAGGGCUUUGUAAGUCUGACGAGAGCUUUCCCAAAUUUUGGACAUUUCACUGUAUUAUUCAUCAGGAGCAACUGGUAUCUAAAAAUCUCAAAUUUGAUCAUGUCAUGAAACCUGUCUUGCACAUUGUGAAAUUCAUUCUCUUGAAUGCACCCAAUCACAGACAAUUUCAAAAUCUAAUUGAAGAACUGAAUGAAGAAACUCCACUGAUGAUUUGCCAUUUCACUGUGCAGUUCAAUGGCUCUCGAGAGGUAAAGUUAUUUCCCUUUUUUUCAAGCUCCUGGCACUAGUAAAAUUGUUUAUGGAGGAGAAGCAUAGAAUGCACCCCAAGCUUACAAAUCCUGGAUGGGUUCUAGACUUGGCAUUUCUUACAGACGUGCAGCUGUAUUUGGAUAAACUAAAUGUGGGCUUACAAGGAAAAUUCUGGUUGCUGUCUGAUCUAGUGCAGGGCAUAUUUGCGGUCAAGAACAAACUGCAGUUGUUUCACAGACAAAUGCCUGAGGGAGAGCUGUCCCACUUUCCCUCAAUAUCACAACUUCAAGCCAGAUCAAAAGAAGAUGCAGCAGAACCCCUAAAGCGGAGCACAACUAGGUAUGCGAGCGUGAUUAAAGGACAGUUUUGAGGAAAGAUUUCAAGAUUUGCAGCAGAAAAGACCUCAAAUCAGAUUUCUGAUUGACUCUUUAAGUGCUGAAGCCAGCUGUCUGCAGCCCCCUUUAGUCGCUGAUGAAGCAACAUCCCAGGUGGAAAUAAUUUAACUUUUGGAAGAUGGCAGAUUGAAAUCUGUUCAGAAGACAGAGGGGAUCCUUACUUUCUGGAAAUCUGUACCACAGGAUAAUACCCCAACAUCAGAGGUGCAGCCCUAAAAUUAAUUUUGAUGUUUGCCUCGACCUAUCUUUGUGAGUCUGUUUUCUCGUCACUCAAACAUGUGAAAUCCAAGCACUGAUCCAUUUUGACAGACAGCCACUUAAGAGAAUUGCUGCCUGUGAGCACAACUGAACACAAACCAAACUUCAAGGGAAUUGUUGAAAGCAAAGAUUCCCAGAAGUCCCACUAAGCUCAGGUUGGCCACUCCUGCCCUGGAGGGCAAGGGAGAAGGAUUGACUGGAUAGAGCAGUGCUGAGCAGGAGAGAGCUCCACCCUGACUGGCUGCCAGACUGGGACCUCUGAUACCAAGGGCCAGAAAGGUGCUGGGGCUGCAGGGAAGUGGUGCAGGGAAACAGACAGUAGGGGUUGCGGGACCCAGAGUAGUUUGGGGUGGGGGGAGCAUGGUCGAUUCAGACUGAAGUUUGCCCCUGAGGUGAGGGGCUAGACUUUUGGCUGCAGCGGGCUGCUGAGGCAGGUGCAAGGACUGAGGACUCUUGGUCCCCUGGAUUGUAUUUCCCCCCCCCCGCCCGAAGGGUUGAGUUGGGGGCUCAGCCGGAGGGCCGCCAUCCGGGAGUGACAUGGUUCCGCCACAGACAGUGCAGAAGGUGGAAAUAGCAGACUGAUGGCAGUUCGAGACACCACCUAUAGGUAGUACACUCAGCUGGACUGAGCUAAUUCCCAGAGCACCCAGCAGGAGGCACCACAGUGGUGAGUCUGCGCCCCGUUACAGCCUGUGUCUUUUAUUUUGUUACACUGCUUUAAUCAUAUGAUACUUUAAAUGUAAUUCUAUUGCUUUUUACUAUGUUCUAUACAUUCUUUACUCCUGUUGGAAUCCUGCAACUUGUGCAUUUGGAGCCACAGUACUGUUGCAGAAUUCCAACAGGAAUAAUUCUGUCUGGCUUUAUUAAUUACA